rnacentral:rRNA from 1 species
GGAUGCGAUCGUACAAGCACUAGCGCAAUGAAUCCCAUUUGAACUCCGAAGUUAAGCGUGCUUGGUUAGAGUAGUACUAGGAUGGGUGACUCCCUGGGAAAUCUUCAUGUUGCAUCCC